rnacentral:rRNA from 1 species
CCUACGGGUGGCAGCAGUGAGGAAUAUUGGUCAAUGGCCGUACGGCUGAACCAGCCAAGUCGCGUGAAGGAAGAAGGAUCUAUGGUUUGUAAACUUCUUUUAUAGGGGAAUAAAGGUAUCCACGUGUGGAUUUUUGCAUGUACUUUAUGAAUCAGCAUCGGCUAACUCCUUGCCAGCAGCCGCGUUAAUACGGAGGAUGCGAGCGUUAUCCGGAUUUAUUGGGUUUAAAGGGAGCGUAGGUGGUUUUUUAAGUCAGUGGUGAAAGUUUGUGGCUCAACCGUAAAAUUGCAGUUGAGACUGGCAGACGUGAGUAUAUUUGAGGUAGGCGGAAUGCGUGGUGUAGCGGUGAAAUGCAUAGAUAUCACGCAGAACUCCGAUUGCGAAGGCAGCUUACUAAGCUAUAACUGACACUGAAGCACGAAAGCGUGGGGAUCAAACAGGAUUAGAUACCCUGGUAGUC